GAUGAACGCUAGCGGCAGGCUUAACACGUGCAAGUCGAGGGGUAUGGCCGAUUUAUCGGCAGAGACCGGCGCACGGGUGCGUAACGCGUAUGCAAUCUACCUUUCACAGAGGGGAUAGCCCCAGAGAAAUUUGGAUUAAUACUUCAUAGUAUUUUCGGAUCGCAUGAUUUGAUUAUUAAAGUUCCAACGGUAAAGAUGAGUAUGCGUCCCAUUAGCUAGAUGGUAAGGUAACGGCUUACCAUGGCAAUGAUGGGUAGGGUCCUGAGAGGAGAUCCCCACACUGGUACUGAGACAACGGUCCA
rnacentral:rRNA from 1 species